CUAUGUUUUAAAUGGCUUCACUUAAAUAUUAUCCAUAUCUUGAGACCACUUUUGAGAAAAAAUCUUGAAGCGGGAACGUUUUUUUAAAACGAAGCUUUUGGAGGUAAGGAUUCCGAAGUACCAAAACAAAUCCAAUUUUUAUAAAACUUUCCGUAUAUAUUAAAAAAAGGUUGAGGAAUCUAAUGGAAUGUGAACACUUUUUAACAUUUAUACAUAAAUUUUUAGUUCUCAGUGUUUAAAAACUUCAAGGUUAAUUAUUAUAGAAAAAAAAGUGAUUUUUGAAAGUGUUCAAGUGGAAAUGGCAAAUUCAGCCUUUCCUCUUUUUAAAACAAGUGUUUAAUUAUGUUUUCUUAAAAAAUAGGUGCUUCGGAUUUGUAUAUUAGAAUUCUGUAUAUAUACAUCUAUAUUUCUUCGCGUAUUUUAUGACGUUUUUUGUUUUGAUUUUGCAAUUCCGAAAUUUUAACUACAAAUAAAAUUGAAAAUGAAAGUAUAUUCCUUAUUAAUGACUUAAGUUUUCAAGGCAAUAAAAAUAAAGAUUUUAUAUUUUUAAAGGUAUUUUUUCUGGAUUGCUCAACUACAAGCUUGAUUCUCACUGUUUCUACUACUGUUUUUAGUCUGUAGAUUCUUUAAACUGUUUUUUUCAAAACAAAAAGAAAUAAUAAUCAACUAAACUUUUAGUCUAAAGUUUACAAAAUGGAAAUGUGCUGUGAACUUAACAAUCUACGUGAAAUGGUGGUUCAAUCUAUAAGUCAAGAAUCUACCAAAGUGUUGUCUGAAAUAGCAACCUGCAAGAAUAUUUUGGAUUUUCUGGAUAUAAAUGAUGGCAUUAUUUCUCUCAAAUAUCCUGAUUUUGUGUUAACCAAUAGCCAUU